AUAGGUGGGAGACUGUGAAAUACAGACGCCAGUUUGUAUGGAGUCGUUGUUGAAAUACCACUCUGAUCGUAUUGGACACCUAACGUCGAACCGUAUAUCCGGUUCACGGACAGUGCCUGGUGGGUAGUUUAACUGGGGCGGUUGCCUCCUAAAAUGUAACGGAGGCGCCCAAAGGUUCCCUCAACCUGGACGGCAAUCAGGUGUUGAGUGUAAGUGCACAAGGGAGCUUGACUGCGAGACUUACAAGUCAAGCAGGGACGAAAGUCGGGACUAGUGAUCCGGCACCCCCGAGUGGAAGGGGUGUCGCUCAACGGAUAAAAGGUACCCCGGGGAUAACAGGCUGAUCUUCCCCAAGAGUCCAUAUCGACGGGAUGGUUUGGCACCUCGAUGUCGGCUCGUCGCAUCCUGGGGCUGGAGCAGGUCCCAAGGGUUGGGCUGUUCGCCCAUUAAAGCGGCACGCGAGCUGGGUUUAGAACGUCGUGAGACAGUUCGGUCUCUAUCCGCCGCGCGCGUCAGAAACUUGAGGAAACCUGUCCCUAGUACGAGAGGACCGGGACGGACGAACCUCUGGUAUACCAGUUGUUCCACCAGGAGCACGGCUGGAUAGCCACGUUCGGACAGGAUAACCGCUGAAAGCAUCUAAGCGGGAAACCUUCUCCAAGAUCAGGUUUCUCACCCUUUUAGAGGGAUAAGGCCCCCCGCAGACCACGGGAUCGAUAGGUCAGACCUGGAAGCUCAGUAAUGAGUGCAGGGAACUGGCACUAACCGGCCGAAAACUUACCAACACACAA
rnacentral:rRNA from 1 species